GAUGAACGCUGGCGGCGUGCCUAAUACAUGCAAGUCGAGCGAACAGAUGAGGAGCUUGCUCCUCUGACGUUAGCGGCGGACGGGUGAGUAACACGUGGAUAACCUACCUAUAAGACUGGGAUAACUUCGGGAAACCGGCGCUAAUACCGGAUAAUAUAUUGAACCGCAUGGUUCAAUAGUGAAAGACGGUUUUGCUGUCACUUAUAGAUGGAUCCGCGCCGCAUUAGCUAGUUGGUAAGGUAACGGCUUACCAAGGCAACGAUGCGUAGCCGACGUGAGAGGGUGAUCGGCCACACUGGAACUGAGACACGGUCCAGACUCCUACGGGAGGCAGCAGUAGGGAAUCUUCCGCAAUGGGCGAAAGCCUGACGGAGCAACGCCGCGUGAGUGAUGAAGGUCUUCGGAUCGUAAAACUCGGUUAUUAGGGAAGAACAAAUGUGUAAGUAACUAUGCACGUCUUGACGGUACCUAAUCAGAAAGCCACGGCUAACUACGUG
rnacentral:rRNA from 1 species